rnacentral:rRNA from 1 species
GUAGGUGGCAAGCGUUGUCCGGAAUUAUUGGGCGUAAAGCGCGCGCAGGCGGUUCUUUAAGUCUGAUGUGAAAGCCCACGGCUCAACCGUGGAGGGUCAUUGGAAACUGGAGAACUUGAGUACAGAAGAGGAAAGCGGAAUUCCACGUGUAGCGGUGAAAUGCGUAGAGAUGUGGAGGAACACCAGUGGCGAAGGCGGCUUUCUGGUCUGUAACUGACGCUGAGGCGCGAAAGCGUGGGGAGCAAACAGGGAUUAGAUACCCUGGUAGUCCACGCCGUAAACGAUGAGUGCUAAGUGUUAGGGGGUUUCCGCCCCCUUAGUGCUGCAGCUAACGCAUUAAGCACUCCGCCUGGGGAUACGGCUGCAAGGCUG